GACGAACGCUGGCGGCGUGCUUAACACAUGCAAGUCGAACGGAAAGGCCCUGCUUUUGUGGGGUGCCCGAGUGGCGAACGGGUGAGGAACACGUGAGUAACCUGCUCUUGAUUUUGGGAUAACUUCAGGAAACUGGGGCUAAUACCGGAUAGGAGCUCCUGCUGCAUGGAGGGGGGUGGAAAGUUUCGGCCGUCGGGGAUGGACGCGCGGCUUAACAGCUUGCUGGUGGGGGAGGGGCUGACCAAGGCAUUGACGGGUAGCCGGCCUGGGAGGGUGGACGCCCUCCUUACGCCUACGAUACGGAGCAGUCUCGUACAGGAGACAACGGUCGCAAAUCUUGCACAAUGGUCCCGCGCCUGAUGCGAAGGCGCCGCGUGCGUGAUGACGGCCUUCUGGUUGUAAACCGCUUUAGCCUAUGACGAAGCGUGAGUGACGGUAAUGAAUGAAGAAGCACCGGCUAACUACGUG
rnacentral:rRNA from 1 species